rnacentral:rRNA from 1 species
UACGGGGGGGGCUAGCGUUGUUCGGAAUUACUGGGCGUAAAGGGCGCGUAGGCGGUCUGCUAAGUUGGAUGCGAAAACUCUGGGCUUAACCCAGAGCCUGCAUUCAAUACUGACAGGCUAGAGUUCUGGAGGGGAUAGCGGAAUUCCUGGUGUAGCGGUGAAAUGCGUAGAUAUCAGGAGGAACACCGGUGGCGAAGGCGGCUAUCUGGACAGAAACUGACGCUGAGGCGCGAAAGCUAGGGGAGCAAACAGG